rnacentral:rRNA from 1 species
GACGAACGCUGGCGGCGUGCUUAACACAUGCAAGUCGAACGGAAAGGCCCUGCUUUUGUGGGGUGCUCGAGUGGCGAACGGGUGAGUAACACGUGAGUAACCUGCCCUUGACUUUGGGAUAACUUCAGGAAACUGGGGCUAAUACCGGAUAGGAGCUCCUGCUGCAUGGUGGGGGUUGGAAAGUUUCGGCGGUUGGGGAUGGACUCGCGGCUUAUCAGCUUGUUGGUGGGGUAGUGGCUUACCAAGGCUUUGACGGGUAGCCGGCCUGAGAGGGUGACCGGGCACAUUGGGACUGAGGGACGGCGCAGACUCCUACGGGAGGCAGCAGGGGGGAAUAUUGCACAAUGGGCGGAAGCCUGAUGAAGCAACGUCGCGUGCGGGAUGAAGGCUUUCGGGGUGUAAACCGCUGUAGCCUGUGACGAAGCGUGAGUGACGGUAAUGGGUAAAGAAGCACCGGCUAACUACGUG